AUGUGAAAGAGAGCAUGAGAGAGAGAAACGAUAAAAUAAUUGAGGGGGGAGAGAGUAAUGAAAACACGGUUUCCCAAGUGAGAAUGGUAGUGAUAAAAUGGUGGGUAAUUAAACUCACCGUUUUCUAUUUAUCAGUGGUUAUCAAAGUUGGGCACACGAAAGUGGUAGGUAGAGUAUGUCGUCGAAAUUACUUGUGUGAAGGUAGUCGUUGGAGUUAGUUGUUAGAGUUGUCAUCGAUGGUAGUUGGUGGAACUCAAAGUUCUUCGAAGUUCGUCAUAUGAACGUGAAAAACAGAGUUUUUUUUUUCUUUUUUUUGCCAAAGUGGUUGUUGGAAUUGGUUGUUGGAGUGUUGUUGGAGGUGGUUGUCGGAGUUGGCCACCCGAAGGUGGUCAUUGGAGUAUGUCGCCGGAGUGUGGUAGAGGUAAUCGCCAAUGGAGACCGAUGAGUGGAAGCAUUAAUAAUCAACUUAACCCCAACGUUGUCAAAUAUUGAGUUGGUAAAAAACACCAACUCAACCCAACUCUCCUCAGUGCAGCUGUUUCUUUAGACAUUAGGCUUUUUUUAUUAUUAUUAUAUUUAUAAGAGCCUCUUGGGAUUUUGUGACCUCGUUUUCGGUUUCUCUUCACUCAUGAAUGACAUUAGAGAAUUAAUUGUUUUCGGUUUAACCAGUAGGUGAAACUUGAAAGAACAUCAAGUUUCACGACUUCAUGGCAAUCGCCGCAAAAUGCAAAUUUUCUUUAUGAUCCUUAUAGGACUAAUUCCAUUAGUUUUGUUUUCUAAACAAACCGAAGGCGACGGCGAGUUUCUCGCUGCAGAGACAUAUGGACUUGAACUUUUCAUCCUCUCAUGCAAAACCAGAUUAGUAUUAGGGUCUUGCUCUUCGUGAGAGUCCUAACUGAUGCUACAUCCUUCCAUCUACCCCACGCAUAUUUGAGAGCAUAAUAUAUGGUACAACAUUUCAAGGAUCCAAUUCAAAGGGAUACCUAGCUGCCAUUUCUGCAUUCAAUGUGCUUACAUUCAUAUACUUUGUGGGCGCAAAGCCUUCCCUCUGCAUUCUUCUAAAAAGCUUGAGCGACUCUUUUCGACUGUUGGAUGCAAAUUUAUAUUUAGCAUACGCAGAGAGCAGAGCAUUCCAAAAGAAAACAUCCCUUUCAAGCAUUUUAUCAAACAGGUUUCAGGCAUCUGGAAGCUUCCCAAAUUUUGCAUACAAAUCAAGUAGCUGAUUGUGGAGAAAGGGAUCGGUGGCUUCUUAGAAUCUUGUUUUAUACGUUAUUUCUGCACAAAUGAUUCAUUUGUUUUUCUACUAUAUGGGCUGCAGAAUCUCGUGUAUGAAGAUCACGAGCCAGAUUCUAUAGUUCCUCAUUGUUGUUAUUAUUAUUAUUAUAAUACUUAAUUUCAAGUUGGUACUUAUAAUUUUAAUAUAUUUUUAUGAUUGUUGUAUUAUUUAUAAAGUAAACCAAUUGGUUCAUAUGAGCAACAUUCAUCUGUGGUAGGGUCCUAAUAGAAAACAAUUUCCUCAUGAACUUAGUUUUUUUGGGUGCUGUUGUGUUCAAUCCUGGUAACACUUUGAUGGUUGGAGCAUUAUCUUCAUUCGCUCAAGCCAUGGCUGCCACGGAUUUGUAUAGGUGACUGGAUCUUGGUGCACAGCACAAUGGAAGGGAGCAAACCACACAACAGGAAGGCAAAUAGCGGCUUACCUUGGUGACCCACGGUCGACGAUCAGAAGGUUGAUGAACGAGGACGAACAACUGAUUCCAAUGGAUGAAUGAUUGAUGAAUGAGGACAAAUGGCGCGCAGCAUACUGGCAAACGGUGGCUGACGGCGAUGGUCGAAUCUAAUGAGCGAAUGGUGGAUUGGUGAACCGUGACGGCGACGGUUGGCCGAAUCCAAGGGUGAAUGUCGACAGCGGAGGGUGUGAGAUUUUCGGAAGGAGGAAAGAGAGGGAGGAAAAAGAAAGGGGAAGUGGAAGAGUCAAUAAUUUUUCUUUUAUAAAAAGAAACAUUAAUUGGCGUGAAACCCUAAACUUGUGUAUAGAGGAGAUAAAAUCACAAUUAUAUUUAUUUGUGUGGAACC